UCCAGGAUGCGCUGAAAGCUCAGCAGCAGAGUGAGUACUUGGAGCGCUGAAGCUGCAGGUGAGCCGACAGCACAGCAGCGUGAUUAAUUGGAGUGCGCUGGUGCACUUGAAGUUGCAGGUAGCCGGCAGAGAGUUCCUUGGACGCGGAAGCGCAGCAGAGAGAGAGUCCUUAGAAUGCCUGAUUGGUGCCUGACAGGUGUGACUGAUUGCUGAUGAGUGGAGGCUGAGCUGCGUGAGAGGAGAAGGCGCUGAAAAAUAACAUGAGGAGACAGCCAGGCUAAAACUGUACCAUGACAGAUUCAUGGUGAAUCGUGUGAUAUCCCACCUUUUAAUGUGUUGUGUAUGUCUGGGACAUCGUUGUGAAAUAAUUCACCUGUUUGGCAAGUCUCCUGAAAGCUAAUGUGAAUUUCCUAUUUCCUUUGUUUUGUUAUGUCUGUGCAGUGUACACUGUUAAUAAUGUACACUAGAAAACAUUUUACCUAUUGUAAUAUUAAAUCAGAAAUCAGUUAGGAUUGCCAAAAUAAUUUGUCAGAAUGUGAGUCUCUAUUGAAUUUUUGACUACAGUCUUCAAAGUCAGUAAUUCACAUUCAAUUAUUAUGCCUUUAAAAAGUUCUGGGAAAACCCAAAUGACAAAAGUGUUGAUGUAAUGAUCAUGUAAGUUGUAAAAAGGAGUUUACAAGAAUUUAGCAUAUGGUAUCAGGUAUAUGUAAUCAAAGUUUAUUUAAUCAGUUCAUGCUUCUAAACUUGAAAAGAAUGAAGGCACUGCUAUGACAAUAUCAUCACAUUUAGAGUAUUAAAGCUGAUGUUCCUAUAUGUUCUUUUAUGUGUAUUUGUUCUGCAAGGGAUCAUUAAAACGUGAAAAGGCAACACCGGAUGUUGCCAACAGAAUGCAUCCAAAAUAUCACAGGAUGAGGUGCAUGUGACCCUCUCUUCCAUGCUGGAAAAUUUGUCAUUGCAUUCUAUUAUUAUAAACAGACCUUUACAUAGGUACCUUAAGUCAAAAACAAA